rnacentral:lncRNA from 1 species
AUGUGGGGUAGUUUGGUCAUUUUCCAGAUGAGUAAGCACAACACAGAGAGGUUAAAUGACUUAAGUCUGAGACAAGAGUUGACAAACCAGGGAUUAGAAUUGCGUUCCUCUGACUCCAGUCCAGUCCUCUUGCAGCCAGAGAGUACAAACUGGUACCAUGGAGAAAUCCAACCUGAAAGGGGUGGUACCAGCAUUCAGAACAGGAUGCAAAAGAAGACAAGAGAUAAGUUCAAAGGGGAAGAGAGGUCCUAAGUAACAGAGAAAGUCUUUCUGGAGAAGGCGACAUCUGAGUUGGGAAGAAAGGACUUUUCAGAAGCCGGGAACAACCAGAGCAAAGACACAGAGACAAGAAAAGUCACGGUAUGUGUGUGUGUUUUGGUGGGGCGGGACAGAGAUCAUGUUAAGAAGGACAGAAAGUAUUCCAUUUCAGUUGUACCAUUAGCUACAUGAAAAGGACAAAUAUAAAAUAAUUCUGCAAAGUAACAUUGCCAGGUAGCUAGAAUCGACCAAGUUUGAUAGUAUUUUAUCAAAGAAACCAGUUAUUUCUUUACAUGCAUAUUGUUAUUGCAAGAUUCUUUUUUGUUCUCAUAUUUGUAAUUAUAUUUGAAAAGACUUGGUGGUAUAGUGGAAUGGUGGGCAAAGGAAUUUAUGCUUUACUGGAUAGGGUAUAGUGAAACAUUGAAAACUACCAAUCAGAGGAAUGAUAGGACAAGAUUUAUAUAUGACAUGUUAUUCUGAGAUGACUAAGAAGGAUAGAUUGUAGGAGAG